CAAUAGCGUAUAUUAAAGUUGUUGCAGUUAAAAAGCUCGUAGUUGGAUUUCUGGUGGGAGCGAUCGGUCUGGCGCUUAGCGCGAGUACUUGCAUCGUCUCCGGCCAUCCUUGGGGAGAGUCUGUCUGGCAUUAAGUUGUCGGGCAGAGGAUCCUCAUCGUUUACUGUGAAAAAAUUAGAGUGUUCAAAGCAGGCUUAUGCCGUUGAAUAUAUUAGCAUGGAAUAAUAAGAUAGGACUUUGGUACUGUUUUGUUGGUUUGCGCACCAAAGUAAUGAUUAAUAGGGACAGUUGGGGGUAUUCGUAUUCCGUUGUCAGAGGUGAAAUUCUUGGAUUUACGGAAGACGAACUACUGCGAAAGCAUUUACCAAGGAUGUUUUCAUUGA
rnacentral:rRNA from 1 species